UACAGAGGGUGCGAGCGUUAAUCGGAAUUACUGGGCGUAAAGCGUGCGUAGACGGUUAUUUAAGUCAGGUGUGAAAGCCCGGGCUCAACCUGGGAAUUGCAUUUGAGACUGAAUAGCUAGGGUGCGGAAGAGGGAAGCGGAAUUUCCGGUGUAGCGGUGAAAUGCGUAGAUAUCGGAAGGAACACCAGUGGCGAAAGCGGCUUCCUGGUCCAGCACCGACGUUCAGGCACGAAAGCGUGGGAGCAACAGG
rnacentral:rRNA from 1 species